rnacentral:ncRNA from 3 species
AGCUGGUUCCCUCCGAAG